AUUGAACGCUGGCGGCAGGCCUAACACAUGCAAGUCGAGCGAUCGGCGGACGGGUGAGUAAUGUAUGGGGACUGCCCGAUAGAGGGGGAUAACUACUGGAGACGGUAGCUAAUACCGCAUCCUAUCGGAUAACCCAUAUGGGAUUAGAUAGGUGGUGAGGUAAUGGCUCACCAAGGCGACGAUCCAUAGCUGGGCUGAGAGGAUGAGCAGCCACACUGGGACUGAGACACGGCCCAGACACCUACGGAGGCUGAAGUGGGGAAGAUUGCACAAUGGGCAAAGUCCUGAUGCAGCCAUGCCGCGUGUAUGAAGAAGGCCCUAGGGUUGUAAAGUUCGUUCGGUAGCGAGGCGUUAACUACAGAAGAAGCACCGGCUAACUCCGUGCCAGCAGCCGCGGUAAUUC
rnacentral:rRNA from 1 species